rnacentral:rRNA from 1 species
AUGGUGCUGCGCUGCGAGCAUCCAAGGUACACCACCGACCAGGGAGACCUACGGAGCCUUCCCUCAGAGCCUCACCUGCAUCUCAGGCUGGUCGAAAUCACAGGGUUUUACGGCUGGAAAGGCCAGCUGGAGCUGGCGCUUCACAUCGUGAGGAACUCUGUCGCGCUCGAGGCGAUGAAGAUAGAUCCGAUCCCAGCCCCUGCAGUAGUUGGUUCCGAUUUUAGGCUGCUAGGAUGCCCGGAGUUCACUUCCUUUUCGGAUGGCUACGAGGCCGCCCUUGAGUUCCUCUGCAGCGCCGACCAUCGCCAUGUUGUUCAUGUCCUGGAACCUUGA